rnacentral:RNase_P_RNA from 1 species
AGAGUCGCCCGGAUCACCGCGUUACGAAAGUACCGAGGAAAGUCCGGACUCCAAAGAGCAAAGUGGUGGGUAACGCCCACCCGGAGCAAUCCGCGGGAUUAGUGCAACAGAAAGCAAACCGCCAACGAAAGUUGGUAAGGGUGAAACGGCGGUGUAAGAGACCACCAGUAAUUGCAGCAAUGCAGUUAGCUAUGUAAACCCCACUUGGAGCAAGACCAUGCAGUUGGCGCUUGAGAGCUGCUCGCUCGAGUCAACGGGUAGGUUGCUUGAAUCUGUAAGUAAUUACAGAUCUAGAUGGAUGGUGAUCCCUCGCAAGAGGACAGGAUCCGGCUUAUAGGGCGACUCUUCUU